rnacentral:lncRNA from 1 species
UGAUCUUGUAACAUGAGACCACUUAAUCAGACUGCAUGUUUGUAUGUGUACCAUAUAUGGGAGACGAAGAAGUGAAAAAUAUAUAAAGAACUAUGCCACGUGGCGUUCGGGGCUCAGUUCUUUGGGUACGAACCCAACUGAGCAGUGCUGGCAGGAAUACAGCUGCAUCCUGGAAAGAAAAGCCUCUGUGUCACGACUGUGCGAGAAUCCUGCUACAUUACUUGGGGGCUUGCAUCCGGGAUUCGGAGGCGGUGGUUUCCACCUCCUUUGCCACCGGGGAUGCGAACCUCGGGGCGCUGGGAGAGGCGGCUUCACCUGGUGCCAGCAGACCUUUUGAUCCUCAGGAGACUAGCCCUGCACUGGGGCAGGGACCCCGUGUGCACCAACAGAGCCCGUGAGGCCCAGGAGCCAGCUCAGGGAGCGCCCGUCAGACUGGUAAGAGCCCGGGUUCGUUUUGGCAGACCUGCCCCUGAGAGGCAGAAGGGGAGCCUGAUCACCUCCCAGCGUUGCCCUGGUAGGUCCAAGAGGGACGAGGAACGAAGCCAAAACUCUAAGGCGCUGGGUGCUGGCUGAUGGGUUGGAGUGGCCGUGUGACUGUGUGUGGGGAUUUGUCUCUCGUUCAUUUCCUGGGUCAGUGACUAUGAUCAUUAGAGACAACUGUCUCUGGUCGCUUUACCUCAGAACGGGGACUUUAAGGAAUAUUCCCAAGCAGCUGCUGAAACUCCUUUUGUUUCGGGGAAACUCCCUGUCUUCUCCAGACUGACACGGACUGGGGCGGGGGACAAAACAAAACAAAACAGAACAAAAGAAACCUGGAGUCUGCUCCUCGGUCUGACCUGAUAAGAUUUAAACCAAGGAAUUCUCUUUCUCUGCCUUCUGCUGGCACCUGGCCUCUUCUGCCUGCCCUUCCCCCCCCUCCUGUUUCUGCCCCACUUGGGGGGCGGCCUGCACAACUGGCUCCCAAUGCCUCAGGCACCAUCAACUCCUCCUCCCACCCUAGAUGUCCAGGAGCAAAGACCUUGGAUGUCAGAUGUCCCCACCAAUGUUCCAGGUAAAAAUUAACCAUGGGCAACAAAGUGUCUUCCGUGGACCCAAGUAAAAUGUAUUCAGUGUUUAAGCUAAUUUAAGUUUGUUGGUUUGAGAUAGACAAUGUUUAUCGACAUUAAAAAAAAAAAAAAAAGCUUUCAUUCUACCUAGAUUUAAGGUCAAAUAAACUCAUGUUAUCUCUGUUCCAAUUUGUUAGCAAAAAGAUGACUUAAAGUAAUGGUUAACUUUGUCUCAUAGUUUUCAUGGCUAAUUGUUAGCAUAGCUGUCAAAGUCUUUGGUAGCCUAAAAUGUUACAGUUUUUGCUUACAUAAUAAAUUGGGAUUAAAUUCAUUGGAUAUCCAACGAGAUAAGAGACUAAAGUGCUUAUUACUAGAUGUAAGUCUGUGCUUUUGACUUCUUGCAGAAAAACCAAAGAUAUUUGGAUCUGUUGAAAAAACAUGCUUUGUGCUUAAUUGAUUCAUAGUUUGCCAUCUAAGAAAUUCUAAUGUAACAGUUCAUAAUUGGUUACUACUUAGUUUUCACUGAUGACUAAGGUUUCUGAGAGUUAAAAUUCUGCUAAAUGUAGUAAAGACUAAUAAAAAUUUAAAAAACUCUACAUGUAAGAGUAGAUACAUAAAAAUAUGUAUAUAAGCAAUGGAAAUACCUUUUUUCUUAAAGAAUAAAAAAGACUUAGGUCAAAAUCUAAAAGCAAAAGAAAGUUGUAAUAAGUUUGUAAAAAAAAAAAUCUUUAAAAAAAAUUAUAUCUGGUCGGGAGGUCUAAGGUUAAACCUUUAAAUUACCCUAACUUAUCCACUAUCUUACAGACACAAAAUAAAAGCCCGGUGGCCUUCCUGGAAAGGUUAAGGGAGGCUCUCAUUAAAUAUACAGCUAUCUCCCCUAAUACCCCUGAGGCUGAGACGAUUCUAAAAGACAAAUCUGUCACUGGACUGGCCCCAAAUAUUCAGAAAAAAACUGCAAAAACUGGCUGUUGGUCCAGAAGGGACCCUUGAGGAGCUCUUAAGAGCUGCCAACUGGAUAUAUUACAACCAAGAUCAAGAGGAGAAUAAAAAAAUAAAAAAUAAUAAAAUCUUAAGUCUUAGUUGUGGUCUUAUGUACUAUGUCAGACCGGACUUCCCGAGGUCCUGGCACCAAGUGCCAUUUAUAUGGCUGCGUGGAGACAACCACUGGAGAUCUGAAUCCGCUUGGGGACCUGUAUCUGUGACGCUCAGAUAACCGUGUCCCUGCAAGGGACUGACGGGGCCUGGGGCUCUUCACCGAGGCUCCCCUGAACCAACUGUCUAUCAGAAACCCAGAGCCUCCGGUAACUCUAAAUAUAGAACAAAAACUGGUUGAUUUCCUUCUUGACACCUGAGCUACCUUUUCUGUCCUCCUUUUCACUCCAGGCCAACUAUCCAAACGCAGUACGACGAUUAGAGGCAUCUCCAGAAAACCUCUAACUAAAGUUUUCUCUCAGCCCCUGGGAGACAUGUGGGAAAAACAUGUCCUAAGGGCUGUGGAGAAAGUUGGAGAAGAGAUUAAGGAUGACAGAGAAGGGUUGAAAUGGUUGCCUUAAUAGAGCCGGAAACAGAAUUUCUGACACAGUUGAGGACCUGUUUGAGGCUAGAGUGGAACCAGUCUACGUUCUUAGGUAACUUUCUCUGGCAGUGUUAAAACUGGCAAAGCGGACAUUUCUAGUUAUAUUGGCUCAUGAUUGGGAGACCAAGGGACACAAUGAAGAAACUGCGGUGAGGGGUCUUUCAGAUGUGGAUUGCAGAAUCUAGGCUACGUGAGGCAGGAAUUGAGGAGACGAGUUGGUGGGAAGAAAUCGGAAAAGUUACAGAGCCUGGAAGGAUCGAUGACAUUGAAGAGUGAUACAGCAAGAGAAGCAGAGUAACAAAAAGGGUGAUCACAAGAUUGGAACCAGAGAGUAGAUGUAGAAAUUUGAGUCUUCAGACAUGGGCAGAGCUGGCUGACAGCCAGGUCUGGUGACAGCCAAGGGUGUGCAUGGCCAAGUCAAAAUCAGAGAAAAAGCACCAGAACCUUCCAUUUUGUCAAAAACCUUCUUUUCCAAAUAUUUUAAUUAAGUCUUACUUAUAAUUUAUAAUUAUACUACAUAGUUACAGUAUAAGUAGCAUAUGUAAAUAUACACUAUAUAUAAUGUAUAAUUAUAGAUUGCUUGGCAUACCCAGCAUGUUUUUAAAAACAUAAAAGAAAAAAAGGAAAACUCCACGCAUGUAUAUAUAGAUAAAAAUGACUAGAUGAACAUAAACCAAAAUGUUAACAGUGAGAUUAUGGCUGAUAAUUUUUCUUUUGCGUUUCAAAUGUUGUACAACAGCCAGUAGUAUUUCUAAAAUCUUAAAAGGCAAUGCAUUUUAUAUUUUGAAAGAAAAUGGUGUACCCCAAGUGAACUUCGCUCUUUCAGGAUAUCUCAGGCUUGAAAGGAAGUAAUAUUCUGAACCAUGGAACAUAUUGUCAUGUAUUAGUAGAGUACCUAAUGCAAAUAGUAAUUCCAAUGAGUCACUUCUUUCCGGCUCGUUUUAAACUAUGAGAUAGCAAUCAGGCCUAAUUAUUUCAAUUUAUAAAUAUUUACUCUCAAGACAAGUUCCUUAUGUUCAUAAUGUUGACUUAAUAAAUGCAGACUGACAUUGAUACAUUACAAGACUUCCUUUCCUAAGGGUUAUGUAUUAUGUUGAAAGAGCUUCAUGAAAGAGAAAAACAAUAGAGCAGGCAAAGAAUGCCUUCUCUGAUGACCCAGUUUUAACUGACAACCUCUCCAAUAAGCACAUACAUACAUUUCCUAUUCCCCUUUCAACUUUACUUCCCUCUAGGCCACUUAUUAACAUACUAUCUAUACCACUGGUAUAUGUGAAAUCUGGUAAACAGAUAUACACAUGUAUAUUCCUGUGUCUUUGGUAUAUGUUAAACCAGAAUUCCAGUUUACCUGGUGAUAAGACAUGUGAUAAGACAUGAGCAUUAUUUUUUUUUGUUUCUGUUUGUUUGUUUGUUUGUUUUUAAAUUUGAAUGAGAGAGAGAGCAAGCACGUGAGCCCAGGAGAGGGGCAGAGGGAGAAGAAGAAGAGAGAGAAAUUCCAAGCAGUCUCAGGGCAGAGCCCGACAAGACACGGGGCUUGAUCCCACAAUCCUGAUGUAUGACCUGAACCAAAAUCAAGAGUCAGAUGCUCAACUGAUGGAAGCCACCCAGCCUGAGUAUUUUUUUACUUUUUUAAAGCUUCCAGGGUGAUUUUUACGAGUAGCCAAUAUUCUGUAUAAUCAACUCCGUUAAAUCCAAAUGGAAUUUUGGGAGCCUUUCUCCUCUGUUCCAUGAAUAUCAAAACAUAGUCUUGACUGUUAACAUUCCUGUCACCUUUGAUGCCCCAGCUGUUCUGAAUACCUGGUCAUUCCGUUCCUGGCUCACCACCAACCGCUAGAAACAACGCUGAUGCACCUAUCCUCGGUGUCUGCCUUUUUUGUCUCUCCUUUGGGAAAUUUAACUAAACAAAUCAACUGAAAACGAGAACAGUGGACGCCUAAGCUCCUUUGAAAAAUAAUUAAGUAAAGGGCAAAUCCCAUCUCUUAGGUAUUUCAAAAAGGCAAAAGAGAAGAAACACCUUCGAUGGAAAAGUCACUCUGGCACUAACUUGUCGAGGGCAGCCUGGAAAUGUUUAACGGCGAGCACAGAGGCACAGCUGGCCAGAUUGCAGUAAUGAGGCGUUCCAGACGCACCGGAGCACCGGCUGGCCAAGCUCACAGAGGCCGCUUCAAGAUGAUUCAUGGGGGAUCAUGAAGCACCAGCUGGAAGGACACCCCUGGCAAAACCCACUCGGGUGACGUAAACUAUACCUUAAAAAAUCACUUUCAUGGGCCACCUGGGCGGCCCAGUCCGUUGAGCGUCCGACUUCAGCUCGGAUCACUACAGCUCAGCUCAUGAUCUCGGGGUUCGUGAGUUCCAGCCCCGCGUCAGGCUUUGUGCUAAGAGCACGGAACCUGCUUUGGAUCCUCUGUCUCCCUCUCUCUCUGCCCCUCCCCUGCUUGUGCUCUCUCUCUCCCUCUCUCAAACAUAUAUAAACAUUUAAAAAAUAAAAAAUUCACUUUCUUAACCCACAUCAUCCUUUUUGUUUUCAAGUUUUGCCUUUGAAAUAAUCACUGACUUCUAAGAAAUUGGAAAGAUAAUACAGAGAGGUCCCAUGUACCCUCUCAGUUUCUCCGCAUGGCUGCACUUUGUGUCACUAUAGGAAACUGGCACUGGUACAUGUGUCAUGUAUGCCAUUUCGGUCACGGUGUGUAGAUUCAUGUAACCAUCACUGCCGUUGAGACACAGAACUAGUCUAUCAUUUUUCAUUCCUCUGGGGUAAAUGCCCAGAAGUACGACUGCUAGGUCUUCCUGGCAGGCUGAUCUUUUUACCAGUGUGUUCCUCUCUGUUUCUGGAAAUUUUCUUUGCUCUAAAGAUGUUUUUCUGACUAAUGUUUGCAUGAUUCUUUUUUUUUUUUUUUUUAAUUUUUUUUUUCAACGUUUAUUUAUUUUUGGGACAGCGAGAGACAGAGCAUGAACGGGGGAGGGGCAGAGAGAGAGGGAGACACAGAACCGGAAACAGGCUCCAGGCUCUGAGCCAUCAGCCCAGAGCCCGACGCGGGGCUCGAACUCACGGACCGCGAGAUCGUGACCCGGCUGAAGUCGGACGCUUAACCGACUGCGCCACCCAGGCGCCCCAUGCAUGAUUCUUAUUCUCUUACUUGCAGCCUAUCUAUAUAGUUAUAGCUGAAUUGGAUUUAUUAUAGACAGUUUAUCACUGUGUCAUUUUUUUUUACUUUAAAACUCAUCAAUAGACUUUAUUUUUUAGAGAUUUUAGGUUUGCAGAAAAAUUGAACAGUGAGUAGAGAGUUCCCAUAUACCCUCCUUCUCCUUCCCUACCCCACCCCCAUUUCCCUGUUAUUAGCACCUUGCACUAGUGUGGAACAUUUGUUACAGUUGAUGAACCUAUAAUGAUACAGUAUUAUUAACAAAGUCCAUUGUUUACAUUAGUGUUCACUCUAUGUAUUGUAUAUUCUACGAGUUUGGACAAAUGCAUAAUGCCACAUACCUGCCAUUGCAGUGUUACAUAGAACAUAGUUUCUCUGCCUUAAAAACCCCCUAGGCUCUGCCUAUUCAGUCUCCCCUCUCUCCCAGGCAAAUCCUUGGCAACUAACAAUUUUUGUACUGUCUCUGUACUGUCUGUGCAAUCUUGCCUGUUACAGAUUGUCAUACAGUUAGACUCAUACAAUAUGUAGCCUUUUCAGAUUGGCUUCCUCUACUUAGCAACAUGCAUUAAAGUUUCCCAGACUUCUUUUUGUUUCUUUUUUGGUUCGUUUCUUUUUAAGACUGAAUACUAUUGCAUUGUACGGAUGUGUCAUAGUCUAUCCAUUCACAUGUUGAAGGACAUUUCCAUUGCUUCCAAAUUUUGGUAAUUAUGAAUAAAGCUGCUAUAAACAUUCCUGUGCAGUGUGUGUGUGUGUGUGUGUGUGUGUGUGUGUGUAAAUUUCCAACUCAUUUAGUAGACUCCUAGGAAAAUUGCAUCCAUUUUAUUUCUCCAGCAAUGGAAGUCUCCUAGCCAGCACUAUUUAAAAAGAAAAAUCAAUUGUAUUUUUAAUCUGUAGCCGAUUGACAUUUUUCUUUUACUCUGACCAUAAUUUCUUUUAAUCAUAAUACUAACCCAUCAAGUCUGCUCUCUUUAGCCCAAAGGAUGAAAAAAGGUGUAGCCCAGAAAGACAGUAUCUUUUCAGUAUUAGCAAUCACCUGACAGUAAUUGAACUACUGUUGUACCCAGAGUGCUAAACUAAGUAUCGAAGAUACUCUGUGCAAAGCCUUCUCACAUUCAGAACAAAGAAGUAGAAACUCACUCAAUACAGAUUCUGUAGGACUUAUUGUGCUAUACCUACAUAUAUAUUUUGGUGAUAGAAAUGAAGAGAUUUUUAAAAAGUAUUAUCUGACUGGCAUAGGGAAUCAUAUACACCGCAUAAUUAUGAAAGGAAACUGAGAAAAUUAAAUGAAGUUAACUGAAAAAUAGUUCACAUGGGAUUAGAUUUCAAAAAGCAAAAUUAGUUUAUCAAAUGAUUAGUUCAUAUUGAAUGAAAAAUCGUCACCUUAUUUUAAGUUCAUUCUGAAUUUGAUGUGUUUUUGCUUAAUGUUUACCCUUUAAACCAUGAAUUUUUUUCUUCAGCUGUCCCUGGUUUCUGUCUGCCAAACUACAGAUAAACACUAGACAUUCUUAAUACAAAGAGAGUACGCUUCUAAUGUGUUAAUGUUUAUCUCAGGAAAAGGUGACUUUGCUACCACUUACAUAAUUUAAGUCUGUGCUGUUUUCAGCUACUAAUAUUUUAUACGAGGGUGAAAUGCAUCUUUCAUUUUCUAAAAAAAAUUUUUUUAAUGUUUAUUUAUUUUUGAGAGAGAGAAAGAGACAGAGCACGAGUGGGGAGGGGCACAAAGAGGGAGACACAGAAUCUGAACUCCGUGCUGUCAGCACAGACCCCAACGCAGGCUCGAACCCAUGAACCGUGAGAUCAUGACUUGAGCUGAAGUCAGACGCUUAACCGACAGAGCCACCCAGGUGCCCUGCAUCUUUCAUUUUUUUAAUUUUUUUAUUUAUUUUUUAUUUUUUAUUAUUUUUUUGCAUCUUUCAUUUUUUUAAAUAAACAAUGGCAAUAUAAAUAUUCUACAUUCAUCCUGAAAGUAAUAGAACUCUAGUAGAAAGGGAGGAAUAAAAUCUGCCUGCUUGCAUAACACAAUGCAGAAGUCAUUCAGAGAAAUAUGCAGAUUUCACCCUUCAGUCUCAACAACCUUAAUUCUUCAGUUUAUUAAUAGGAUGUGAAUCUACUCCGCCCCUGCUUUGUAACACAGCUCAGUUCUGCCCACACCUUCUUUCCAGUUGCCUGCAUGAACCACCCCAUCGGGAUGGAUGCCGCGUCUGGUGCCUCUGAGGACCGGGGAACCUUGGGUUGACCUGGGGGCAGAAAAGGACUGGUACCUCUAACCAAGCCCACCAUGGUCUUCCACAGACACUCUGUCCCCUUUCUAGUGUCUGCUUAAUCCUAAAUGACCAAUUUAAAGCAGGGCACACACUGUCCAGAUAGUCACGUAUAUAUUCCUUAAGUAUUUACUGAGUAUCCACUAUGUGCCACACCUUGUUUUUGGUGUUGGUAUGACAGCAGUGAACAAAAGAAAUUCUCUCUCAUGGAGCUUAUAUUCCUGUUUGGGAUAUAGAUAAUGAAUAAAUAUGUAAGGAGAAAGACAUACACAUAUAUAAUGCAAUGGCCAUGGUAAUAAAUGCCACUGAGAAAAGUAAAGCUGAAUAAGAAAGUAGAGAUUGGCAGGGUGACAGGUCAUAGAUGUGUCAGGGAAGGCCUGUGUCAGAGGUCAGGUGGUGACCACUGAGUGAAGACCUAAGGAAGACCUAAGAGAAAGGUCAUAUGGAUAUGUAGAAAAAUAGAGUCCCAGGCAAGUGCAAAGGCCCUGAGGUAGGAUCAUGUUUGUCACAUCCAAAAAGAUAAGAAGCCAACAUGACUGAGAAAGAGUGAGUGAACAGGAGGUAGGUAGAUGAAGUCUGAGGGGAAGCCAGGGACCCGAUCAUGGGUAGCUUUAGGGGCAAUGAAUAGGAUAUUGGAUUCAUUCUAAGUCAAGUAGAAAGUUACUGAAAGGUUUUUGCUGUUUGCUUAGAUCUGGCUCCUCUUUUCCAGCAACCACCUUGGAUUCUGAAGGAAGGACAUCCCUUCAUGAGGCUCUUCUAUGGGAGGGUGGUUAUUUGAGAAUGAAUAAUCACGGUAGAAGUGACAGAAAGAGCUGUGCUUUAGAACAUACUUUCAAUUUAGAGUCAAAAGAUUUUGGUGGGGAAUUAAAUAAAUGGUGUGAGCAAAACAGAAGGGCCAAGGGAGAGGCUGAGUUUGUGAGGCUGAGGGACUAGGUGAAUGGUAUACCAUAUUCCGAAAUGGGCAACACUGGGGGCGGAACAGAUAUCUAGAGAGAUUUCAGGAAACUCCACUAUAGUAGAUGCUGGAACUUAACAUUUUGUUUUUUUGAGACAGGUGUAUGGCCUUCAAGAAUACCCCAAAUUCAUAAAUACCACCAUAAGCCUUAAUAUUUCCCAUAAGAUAUAGUAACGUGGCCUCUUUUUAGCCUCUUAAAAAUCUCUCCGUUGCUUGAGAACAAUUAUGCCAGAGGCCAGAGCACCCUCUUGAAAUGGUGUCACAGGUGUCUCCUAUUCCUCUGUGGGACCACCUGAUGCCCCCAUCUAGAGUGUGAUUGUUCCACAGACAAAUUUGACAUUUCACUCUAGCAUAUCCCACACUUUUCAUUGUUAGCUAAAAAUUGUUUCAGGCAUUUCACUUCGGUCAUCAGCAUUAGCAGUUAGUUUCCUUUUUGGACACUUUUCAAAAAGAAAUCAAAUUCGUUUCACCUUAUGAGUGUUUCUGAAUAUGGGACAAUGACUCAGCAUAAGAAAGCCAAGAGAAGGCAGAAUUGCUAAAUCAGCUAUGAGCAUCUCUCACCAGCUGAGUAGAUCAUCAGGAAUAUCAACAUGCCCAUCCCCAAAAUAUUCAGCUGUAUGAAUCAGUAAAAUUUGAAAUUCUUUCAAGUUAUGAGCCAGGGAGUCUCACAAAUGAUUAAAACCAUGAAUUUUAAAUCCAGGAAUGCCAAUGAUCUACUGUCUGAAUUUAUUACAUUCAGUUUCUCCUAAUUUGUUCUAUAUCCUGUAUCCUGCUGGUAGAGUUGUGCAGUCCGAGACUCCUCCCCUUCUGCCCUAUGAUAAUGCAGAGCUUCCCCUGCCUACUUUUAAGAAUUUGCUAAGAAUGUCAAUAAAGUUUUAGAAAUCCUAAAGAGGACAUGUUUGAAACAGAAAAGCCUUGGUGCCAGUCCCAUCUCUGCCAUUUACCAACUGUGUGACUUCCAGAAAGUUGCUUAGCCUCUCUGAGCAUGUUUCUCUCUCUUUAGGUGGGGAUAAUGACACCUAACUUGUGAGGUGGUGGAAAAUGAACCAGAAUUAGGUCCCUGUGGUAGUCAUGAAGAGGUAGUCAUGAAGAGGUAGUCAUGAAGAUCUCGUCCUUGAAGAGAUCCUGCUGCGAGGAACUCAGUUGGCCAACAUCUCUGGCUGCCACCUCUGUGGAUUCCCUGCACCCUUAGAAUAUCUAAAAUUUUUGUCUCCCAAGAACCAAUUUUCACCCCAAUGGGGGCAACAUUGCCCUUGCUGAGGAGACACCCCGGACGGCAACCUGAGUUCUAGUUCUGCACUGACUGAUUACUCAACCAUUUAUAAGUCACUCUCGCUCUUUGGGACUCCGUUUUCUCAUCUGUAAAAUGAAAAGGUUGAACAACGUGCUGUUGAAACCUCUCUCGCAGCCCUGGAGUCCUAUGAGUUCUGCAUGGCACUGGUGGACACAGCGUAACUGACUUCUCCCGCCCUCCCUGCUCCACUCCCCACCUACCUUUACAGAUAGGACAUGUGGUCGCUGUAUCUUAUCGUGAUUGUUAGCUUGCGUGUCAGGCUCCCUCCAAAACAACAUGAACUGCUUGAAGACAAAGUCCACAUGCAUGUGAUACAGUAGCUGGCAGGAAGCAGGCACCUGGUCAAUGUUUGUAGAAUGGGCUGCACAGUGUACCUACAGGGUGAACUAGAUGCAACUGCCCAGGUUAGACCUUUUGACAGCAAAUCUAUAGGUUAACUCAGGCAAACUAUGGAAUUAAAGGACACCUGCUGUGUACCUAGCUCUCAGGUCGAUGUCUGACAUGUUGGGCGGUCAAGAGAUGUUUAAGGAAGGUAAGUUGAAGGUAAGGAAGGUAAGUAAAGAAGGAAAGUAAGACAGGGAAAAGGUAGACAAAUCAUAUUGUGCCAAUAUUUUAUUUCUUCAAAAAUUCCUGGUAACUUGUAAAAGGACUUCAAUCUAAAGUGGAACCUGAUUAUAUGAAACGGAGAAUGUCGCACACGCACCUCCUAGAAGAACAGAACUUAAGAACCUAGAGACUGAUUUCUCAGAAAUGUCUGAUGUACAGAAGACCAAGACUUAUCCCCUGACCAAUGAGCAACUGCCAAGAAUCUUUUCCCAUUCGCAAGCCAUGGAACUCACUGCUUGGACUCUGGCUGGACAUCCCCCUCUUUGCACACCUUGCCUAUAAAUACAGCCUGCUCCAAACCCUCAGCAGACUCACCUGUAGCCUGCAACGUCACGCAUUUAUGGAAUUGCAGUUCCUCUGCUGUUCCCAAAUAAACUCAAUUUCUG